rnacentral:rRNA from 1 species
CCUACGGGAGACAGCAGUGGGGAAUAUUGCACAAUGGGGGAAACCCUGAUGCAGCGACGCCGCGUGAGUGAAGAAGUAUCUCGGUACGUAAAGCUCUAUCAGCAGGGAAGAAAAUGACGGUACCUGACUAAGAAGCCCCGGCUAACUACGUGCCAGCAGCCGGGGUAAUACGGAGGGGGCAAGCGUUAUCCGGAUUUACUGGGUGUAAAGGGAGCGUAGACGGCAGCACAAGUCUGGAGUGAAAUCCCGGGGCUUAACCCCGGAACUGCUUUUGAAACUGUGCGGCUGGAGUGCAGGAGGGGUAAGCGGAAUGCCUAGUGUAGCGGUGAAAUGCGUAGAUAUUAGGAGGAACACCGGUGGCGAAGGCGGCUUACUGGACUGUAACUGACGUUGAGGCUCGAAAGCGUGGGGAGCAAACAGGAUUAGAUACCCCUGUAGUC